CACACACACACACACACACACACACAAAUGUUUUUUUCUGGUCCACACCUCCAUCAUAAAAAAAAAAAUGGAUUUGCAUACAUGGGUGCAGCCUACUAAACAGCCAAGGACGGACUUCAAGUGCCUCAACGAAGAUAAGACGACAGCACGCAGACAAAGCAGAGACAAGUUCAUCUGGAGGAGACCAGUGGACGCCAUCAACAGAGAUAUAGGGCGACCCUCAGGGAAGAGGAGAAGUAAUGUUGCUACUGUAGCAUCCAUCUAAGUCUCUUUAGCCUGCCGGGGAAAAACAAGUCAUAAUUCCUGCU